rnacentral:rRNA from 1 species
GACGAACGCUGGCGGCGUGCUUAACACAUGCAAGUCAAGGGGGCCCAGCAAUGGGCAACCGGCGAACGGGUGCGUAACACGUGAGCAACCUACCGAACUGUGGGGGAUAGCCGGCCUAACGGCCGAGUAAUACCGCAUACGCUCUCAGAGAGGCAUUUCUUUGAGAGGAAACCUACGGGACAGAUCGAGGGGCUCGCGGCCUAUCAGCUAGUUGGCGGGGUAACGGCUCACCAAGGCAACGACGGGUAGCUGGUCUGAGAGGAUGGCCAGCCACAUUGGGACUGAGAUACGGCCCAGACUCCUACGGGAGGCAGCAGUGGGGAAUCUUGCGCAAUGGCCUAACGGCUGACGCAGCGACGCCGCGUGA